UCUUUGAUGGUCUAACGGUCAUGAUUUCCGCUUGUCAUGCAUGACAAGUCGCGGGAGAUCGGGGUUCGACUCCCCGUCAGAGAG
rfam:Oidiodendron maius Zn unplaced genomic scaffold scaffold_9, whole genome shotgun sequence.